rnacentral:misc_RNA from 1 species
GCCUCUGCAUCAUAUUCGGCAAGUGCCUCUUACUCGCUGAGCUACUAUGACUCGAAGAGCGCUUCAGGCUCGGCGUCAGCCUCAGCAUCAUCUUCGGCGAGUGCGUCGUACUCGCUGAGCUACUAUGACUCGAAGAGCGCUUCAGGCUCGGCGUCAGCCUCAGCAUCAUCUUCAGCGAGUGCGUCGUACUCGCUGAGCUACUAUGACUCAAAGAGCGCUUCGGCGUCAGCAUCAUCUUCGGCAAGUGCGUCGUAUUCGCUGAGCUACUAUGACUCGAAGAGCGCUUCGGCGUCUGCGUCAGCUUCGGCGUCGUCAUCAGCCUCGGCGUCCGCAAGUGCAUCGUACUCGCUGAGCUACUAUGACUCAAAGAGCGCAUCAGUGUCGGCGUCAGCCUCCGCGUCUGCUUCAGCAUCAUAUUCGGCAAGUGCCUCGUACUCGCUGAGCUUUUAUGAUUCGAAGAGCGCUUCGGCGUCUGCGUCAGCUUCGGCGAGUGCGUCGUACUCGCUGAGCUACUAUGACUCGAAGAGCUCUUCAGCCUCGGCGUCAUCUUCGGCGAGUGCGUCGUACUCGCUGAGCUACUAUGACUCGAAGAGCGCUUCAGCCUCGGCGUCAGCCUCAGCAUCAUCUUCAGCGAGUGCGUCAUACUCGCUGAGCUACUAUGACUCAAAGAGCGCUUCGGCCUCAGCAUCAUAUUCGGCAAGUGCCUCGUAUUCGCUGAGCUACUAUGACUCGAAGAGCGCUUCGGCCUCGGCGUCAGCCUCUGCAUCAUCUUCAGCGAGUGCGUCGUACUCGCUGAGCUACUAUGACUCAAAGAGCGCUUCGGCCUCAGCAUCAUAUUCGGCAAGUGCCUCGUAUUCGCUGAGCUACUAUGACUCGAAGAGCGCUUCAGUGUCGGCGUCUGCUUCGGCGUCGUCGUCAGCCUCGGCGUCAGCAAGUGCAUCGUACUCGCUGAGCUACUAUGACUCGAAGAGCGCAUCAGUGUCGGCGUCAGCCUCCGCGUCUGCUUCAGCAUCAUCUUCGGCAAGUGCCUCGUACUCGCUGAGCUUUUAUGAUUCGAAGAGCGCUUCAGUGUCGGCGUCCGCUUCGGCGUCGUCGUCAGCCUCGGCGUCAGCUAGUGCAUCGUAUUCGCUGAGCUACUAUGACUCGAAGAGCGCUUCAGCCUCGGCGUCAGCCUCCGCGUCUGUUUCAGCAUCAUCUUCAGCAAGUGCCUCUUACUCGCUGAGCUUUUAUGAUUCGAAGAGCGCUUCAGUGUCGGCGUCAUCUUCAGCAAGUGCCUCGUACUCGCUGAGCUACUAUGACUCGAAGAGCGCUUCGGCGUCAGCAUCAUCUUCGGCAAGUGCGUCGUAUUCGCUGAGCUACUAUGACUCGGUGAGCGCUUCGGCCUCUGCAUCAUAUUCGGCAAGUGCCUCUUACUCGCUGAGCUACUAUGACUCGAAGAGCGCGUCAGCCUCGGCGUCAGCAUCAUCUUCAGCCUCAGCAAGUGCAUCGUACUCGCUAAGCUACUAUGAUUCGAAGAGUGCUUCAGCCUCAGCAUCAUCUUCGGCAAGUGCAUCGUACUCGCUGAGCUACUAUGUCUCGAAGAGCGCAUCAGUGUCGGCGUCAGCCUCCGCGUCUGCUUCAGCCUCGGCGUCAGCAAGUGCGUCGUACUCGCUGAGCUUUUAUGAUUCGAAGAGCGCUUCAGUGUCGGCGUCAGCUUCGGCAAGUGCGUCGUAUUCGCUGAGCUACUAUGACUCGAAGAGCGCUUCGGCCUCAGCAUCAUCUUCGGCGUCGUCAUCAGCCUCGGCGUCCGCAAGUGCAUCGUACUCGCUGAGCUACUAUGACUCGAAGAGCGCAUCAGUGUCGGCGUCAGCCUCCGCGUCUGCUUCAGCAUCAUAUUCGGCAAGUGCCUUGUACUCGCUGAGCUUUUAUGAUUCGAAGAGCGCUUCGGCGUCUGCGUCAGCUUCGGCGUCGUCAUCAGCCUCGGCGUCCGCAAGUGCAUCGUACUCGCUGAGCUACUAUGACUCGAAGAGCGCAUCAGUGUCGGCGUCAGCCUCCGCGUCUGCUUCAGCAUCAUCUUCAGCAAGUGCCUCGUACUCGCUGAGCUUUUAUGAUUCGAAGAGCGCUUCGGCGUCUGCGUCAGCUUCGGCGUCGUCAUCAUCCUCGGCGUCCGCAAGUGCAUCGUACUCGCUGAGCUACUAUGACUCGAAGAGCGCAUCAGUGUCGGCAUCAGCCUCCGCGUCUGCUUCAGCCUCGGCGUCAGCAAGUGCCUCUUACUCGCUGAGCUUUUAUGAUUCGAAGAGCGCUUCAGUGUCGGCGUCAUCUUCAGCAAGUGCGUCGUACUCGCUGAGCUACUAUGACUCGAAGAGCGCUUCGGCUUCAGCAUCAUCUUCGGCAAGUGCGUCGUACUCGCUGAGCUACUAUGACUCGAAGAGCGCGUCAGCCUCUGCGUCUGCCUCGGUGGCAGCAUCAUCUUCAGCCUCAGCAAGUGCCUCGUAUUCGCUGAGCUACUAUGACUCGAAGAGCGCUUCGGCCUCUGCGUCUGCCUCGGUGACAGCGUCUGCCUCAGGCUCAGCGUCGGCAAGUGCGUCGUAUUCGCUGAGCUACUAUGACUCGAAGAGCGCAUCGGCGUCAGCAUCAUCUUCGGCAAGUGCGUCGUACUCGCUGAGCUACUAUGACUCGCAGAGCGCGUCAGCCUCUGCGUCUGCCUCGGUGGCAGCAUCAUCUUCAGCCUCAGCAAGUGCCUCGUAUUCGCUGAGCUACUAUGACUCGAAGAGCGCUUCGGCCUCUGCGUCUGCCUCGGUGUCAGCGUCUGCCUCAGGCUCAGCGUCGGCAAGUGCGUCGUAUUCGCUGAGCUACUAUGACUCGAAGAGCGCAUCGGCGUCAGCAUCAUCUUCGGCAAGUGCGUCGUACUCGCUGAGCUACUAUGACUCGAAGAGCGCUUCGGCCUCAGCAUCAUCUUCAGCAAGUGCGUCGUACUCGCUGAGCUACUAUGACUCGAAGAGCGCUUCGGCUUCAGCUUCAUCUUCAGCAAGUGCGUCGUACUCGCUGAGCUACUAUGACUCGAAGAGCGCGUCAGCCUCUGCGUCUGCCUCGGUGGCAGCAUCAUCUUCAGCCUCAGCAAGUGCCUCGUAUUCGCUGAGCUACUAUGACUCGAAGAGCGCUUCGGCCUCUGCGUCUGCCUCGGUGUCAGCGUCUGCCUCAGGCUCAGCGUCGGCAAGUGCGUCGUAUUCGCUGAGCUACUAUGACUCGAAGAGCGCAUCGGCGUCAGCAUCAUCUUCGGCAAGUGCGUCGUAUUCGCUGAGCUACUAUGACUCGCAGAGCGCGUCAGCCUCUGCGUCUGCCUCGGUGGCAGCAUCAUCUUCAGCCUCAGCAAGUGCCUCGUAUUCGCUGAGCUACUAUGACUCGAAGAGCGCUUCGGCCUCUGCGUCUGCCUCGGUGUCAGCGUCUGCCUCAGGCUCAGCGUCGGCAAGUGCGUCGUACUCGCUGAGCUACUAUGACUCGAAGAGCGCUUCGGCCUCUUCGUCUGCCUCGGUCACAUCUAGCCAAUAUGCAAGUGCGUCUGUGAGCGCGUCUGUUUCUUUCUCCAGUUCUUUGAGUGCAUCUGCUUCUUCUAGUGUGUCUGUUUCGAGUACUACAACUGGCAAUCCUGUACGUUUGAUACUGAAAGAGGAUUUUUUUACGGGUGUUGCCUCUGAGUCUGCGUUGGCUGACGCGCUUCGCCAUGCCCUGGAGGUACUCUUCGGUAUUACUCCACUGAGUUUUAUUGUGAAUAGUAUGCGUGAGAUCACUAAGUCAAGUAUUCUUGAGUCGAACUUCAGGUUGGACGCAGACGAGUUUGUGAGUUGCAUUAGCAGUGCGCAAUCUCUGAUACUUUAUAAUACGACGAGCGUCUGGGAUGCCGAUGGUUCAACGGCUUCGCAGAUCGCAUCGGGACUUCGCGAAGCGUUGAAAAAUGGCACACUCAGCGCCGAACUAUCCAAGUUUUACGGCUCUCCAGUCUGUGUAGCGCCGAAUGGAACAGUAACUAUAGCCGGAUUGGUCACUUCGAGCUCGAGUCCGCUCCCUGUCUGGGUGAUCGUUAUCAUAGUGGUGCUUGGAACUCUAUUACUGUCUAGUUGCUGUGCGCUUCUUGUAUUCGCGGUGCGUCGUCGGAAACGACGACAUGCCGCGGAGAGCGAAGCGCAAGAGGAUCAGACAGACGCUGAAACGGCCGACACCGGAAUAGAUGACUUCGGUUUGUAG